rnacentral:rRNA from 1 species
GUGCCAGCAGCCGCGGUAAUACGGAGGGUGCAAACGUUGCUCGGAAUCAUUGGGCGUAAAGCGCGUGUAGGCGGCUUGUUAAGUUGAGUGUGAAAGCCCUGGGCUUAACCCAGGAAGUGCGCUCAAAACUGGCGAGCUAGAGUACGGGAGAGGGUAGUGGAAUUCCCGGUGUAGAGGUGAAAUUCGUAGAUAUCGGGAGGAACACCAGUGGCGAAGGCGGCUACCUGGACCGAUACUGACGCUGAGACGCGAAAGCGUGGGUAGCAAACAGGAUUAGAUACCCUAGUAGUCC